GCUAAGAAACAGAACAUGAAGAACAAUAGUAAGCUCACCUGAGUUUGUUCAGUUUGAGUCGUGUCCUCGGAUGUAGCCGAGUUUGUUGAGCUUGGUCAAUGGCUAAGCGUGUUUCUAGGUUACCUCAAAAUUUUUGUCCCAAGUGAAAUACAAUCAACAUCAAGGUUUAGGAUCCCACUAGCAACUGAACAAUCAACACCACUUUAUAGAAAUCGAAGGCUUCCGCCUGGUAUGGAAAAUUAUGGAUGUAUGGAUGGUUGCAGAAAAUACAGAUUCAAGUUUUUAAUAGAUUUUCUUCAUAUAGACAAAAGGUCAAUCAUGGGAGAUUCUCAAUCAACAAUACAAAAAUCAGUCAAUCAAUAAAUAAGAUAAAAUUCUAAUAAAAAUGCAGUGACACCGCAUAUGGAGCAAAAACUGAACAUAAUAUUAAAAGGAACUAUGGCACAAUUAGAAGCAGAGAAACUUUUACAAACUUCAAGAAUCACAAAAUUAUCAGACAACAAAGGGAGCAGACUUACAUGUAAGUUUUGAGUAGGAAAUAUAGGAGCAGUAGCAUCAAGCAUUACAGCCAAGCUACCAACCUAUAAUACCGACAUUAUGUUGUGUGACCACUUUGACCACAAUGGCUACCUGGUAUGCACAAGCAUAACUGGACAGACAAAGAAACCACCGUACUCCUAAACAUGGCAGGACAAUCCUCCAGGUAUAUCCAGCUGGUGGAUAACAGCUACGCAGUGUGCAAAAAUUCAAAAACUGACAAUAAAUCUGAUUUGUGAUUUAGUGUGGCCAUGUGCAACCCAAGUUAUGGUAAAAUGUCAUGCCCAUUUGGUGGUUCCAAAGGAAACAAUUUUUUAUUACUACUACUGAUCAUCUUUUACACAAUUAGCCACCGGUGGCAUUUCUAAGGAUUGGACAUACAAUUCAUAAAUGAAGUUAAAUAAAUAACUAGAUGAAACUAGAGAUACAGGAUGCGACAUGUUAUCAUAAAUAAACAUAAGAAGCAUGGAAGAGCGGGCAGUUUUAAGCAGUGUAUACAACAGCUAAUAGAAAAUCUCAGAUGGAAGGCAAAGAAAAAGACCUGUGGAACAGCCAUUCUCUCAAGGUUGGCAGCAUAGGGCAUAGGUACAUCAGCUCCAGCGAUCCUCUCAACUGGGGCAUAUGGAACAAAAACUGAACAUAAUAUUAAAAGGAAUGCAUAUUACAGCCAGUGAGUAGAUUGUUCGCACGAGAAGUCGCAACAAUGACCUUUUCAUGCUUGUCGAUCUCAUAGUUCAUUUUUUAUCAGAACUUCAGCAAGCACCACUAGGAACUGUAACCGACAGUGAGAUGCAGAAACCAUUCCAUCGUUUGAGAUUCUUCAGUUUCGUCAGUUCGUCACUCGUCAGAGUCUGUUUGUUAGGCAUUCAGUUUCGUCAGCCUAUCUAUUUUCCUUUCUGUUUUGUUCAGUUUGAGUCGUGUCCUCGAAUGUAGCCGAGUUUGUUGAGCUUGGUCAAUGGCUGAGCGUGUUUCUAGGAGAUAGUGGUAGAGUGAGUGGGCACGAUGGCUGGACUUUGACCGUGGGAUAACGCGGCUGUGAGGAGGGUUCAACCAGUGAUUCCCUGUAUGUCCCAGCAGUUACACGGGACUUCCAUGAUCUAGGCUUGGUUUG
rnacentral:lncRNA from 1 species